AGGGUGACAGCCCCGUACACAAAAAUGCACAUAUUGUGAGCUCGAUGAGUAGGGCGGGACACGUGGUAUCCUGUCUGAAUAUGGGGGGACCAUCCUCCAAGGCUAAAUACUCCUGACUGACCGAUAGUGAACCAGUACCGUGAGGGAAAGGCGAAAAGAACCCCGGCGAGGGGAGUGAAAAAGAACCUGAAACCGUGUACGUACAAGCAGUGGGAGCCUCUUAAUGGGGUGACUGCGUACCUUUUGUAUAAUGGGUCAGCGACUUAUAUUCUGUAGCAAGGUUAACCGAAUAGGGGAGCCGAAGGGAAACCGAGUCUUAACUGGGCGUUAAGUUGCAGGGUAUAGACCCGAAACCCGGUGAUCUAGCCAUGGGCAGGUUGAAGGUUGGGUAACACUAACUGGAGGACCGAACCGACUAAUGUUGAAAAAUUAGCGGAUGACUUGUGGCUGGGGGUGAAAGGCCAAUCAAACCGGGAGAUAGCUGGUUCUCCCCGAAAGCUAUUUAGGUAGCGCCUCGUGAAUUCAUCUCCGGGGGUAGAGCACUGUUUCGGCAAGGGGGUCAUCCCGACUUACCAACCCGAUGCAAACUGCGAAUACCGGAGAAUGUUAUCACGGGAGACACACGGCGGGUGCUAACGUCCGUCGUGAAGAGGGAAACAACCCAGACCGCCAGCUAAGGUCCCAAAGUCAUGGUUAAGUGGGAAACGAUGUGGGAAGGCCCAGACAGCCAGGAUGUUGGCUUAGAAGCAGCCAUCAUUUAAAGAAAGCGUAAUAGCUCACUGGUCGAGUCGGCCUGCGCGGAAGAUGUAACGGGGCUAAACCAUG
rnacentral:rRNA from 1 species